GACAGAGGGUGCAAACGUUGUUCGGAAUUACUGGGCGUAAAGCGUGUGUAGGCGGCUCUCCAAGUCGGAUGUGAAAGCCCCGGGCUCAACCCGGGAAGUGCAUACGAUACUGGGGAGCUUGAGUCUUGGAGAGGUUGGUGGAAUUCUCGGUGUAGAGGUGAAAUUCGUAGAUAUCGAGAGGAACAUCGGCGGCGAAGGCGGCCAACUGGACAAAGACUGACGCUGAGACACGAAAGCGUGGGGAGCAAACAGG
rnacentral:rRNA from 1 species